UACGGAGGGUGCAAGCGUUGUCCGGAUUUAUUGGGUUUAAAGGGUGCGUAGGCGGCCCGUUAAGUCCGUGGUGAAAGCCCACAGCUCAACUGUUGACCUGCCAUGGAUACUGACGGGCUUGAGUACAGACGAGGUAGGCGGAAUGGAUGUUGUAGCGGUGAAAUGCAUAGAUACCAUCCAGAACACCGAUUGCGUAGGCAGCUUACUAGGCUGUAACUGACGCUGAGGCACGAAAGCGUGGGGAGCGAACAGG
rnacentral:rRNA from 1 species